AGUCCCAGUAUAGGACUCAAAAAUCUUUCAGUCUUAUUCAUUUGUGCUAAGAGUUUUAAUUCUCUAAUUAGUCUAGAGCCAUGUAAAGUAGGCCCUGAAACAUUCUUUAUAUAUCCUACUAUUUGUUUGUGAUAUGAAUCUGACAGAGCUAAAAGACACUUUUUGUCUUUUAAAUGGAAGAAUGUGUUAAGACACCGCUUAGAACUUAUCUGCUGUGAUCACAGCUGCGAACUGGUACUCAGAAUCAUGCACAAGUUCAAAUGGCAUUGCAUGAGUCCUUAUGGAGAUUAUGUGACGUUCCCUACAGAAUGAGCAUCUGUAGCUAAGAAUCACGAAGAGUCAGCAUCCAGCCAGAGCACAGACAGGAGCCAAGAAUAACUGUCAUCAUAGAGGUUUCACCUCGCAACUGAUGACUGAUGGAAACAGAAGCAGAGACUCACAGCCAAACAUUAAGUGGAGCUUGGGGAAUCCUGUGGAAGAAGGGAAGAAGGACUGAAGGAGCCAGAAGGGCCAAGGACAUCAUCAGAAAACCUACAGAAUCAACUAACCUGGGCACAAAGGAGUUCAGAGAGACUGAACUGGCAACCAGAGAGCAUGCAUGGGAUGGACCUAGGCCCUCCACACAUAUGUAACCGUCUUGCAGCUUGGUUUUCAUGUAAGACUCCUAAAGUGGGAGCAGGGGCUGUCUCUGACUGUGUUGCCUACAUUUGGGUCCCUUUCCCUUAACCAGGCUGCCUUGUUUAUCCUCAAUAGGAGAUGAGUCUCGCCUUACUGCAACUUGAUAUGCCAGAGCUGUUGGUAUCUAUGGGAGUCCUCCUUUUCAGAGUAGAGGAGGAGA